UUAAAGUUGAAGAGAUGAAACAGAAAGGACACUUUCCUACUCAGAUGAAAUCUUCUGAAUGAGCAGGUUCUUGCAGGUUUGAUCAAACCAGAAUUGUUGAAGACAACAUGGACAACACAGUGAGAAAAGAAAAAAGAGAGAGAGACGGGGCCAAAAACUUUGGAACACAAGGAAAAGAACGGAAAAAAGAAGUAGAGGAACUUUUUCACAGACUUCAACUUGAACUCAAGUUCAACAAUAAACUGACAGCUGCAGAUGUUCUUCAGAUAACGGCACAUUCAUUACAGUCCCAUGGGUCUUGCACUGAGGAAGAACUGGUUCACAUAUUCUUACAAAAACUACUAACGAUGAACUACAGAGCAAGAAGUGUCACCGUUACAAGGACUAGUGAGCAUCACAGUGAAAAACAACAAAAGGCCAAACAAUCAUCUGCAGCCGGUGUUGAUGUGUUUAGUGUAAUUUUUGAAGAACCAUCUUUGUCUGAUGAAAGUAAAAGCAACACAGACCCUAUUCACCCGAUGGAUGUUCAAAUGGCUGUGUUUCAUUGUGCUGAUGGUUUCCUGAAGCAGCUGAUGGUCACUAAACUGUCCCAGUGCCGAUACGCUCUGCCUCUGCUUGUUCCUGAUCCAUUCACACAACAGAUUGUGUUUCCUCUUUGGACAUUUAGAGAAAUUAGCCAGAGCUGGAAAAUAAAAAACA